rnacentral:ribozyme from 1 species
UUUUUUUUUUUUUUCUUUUUUUUUUUUUUUAAAAAAAAA